AAUAGAUACCCAGGUAGUCCAUGCCGUAAACGUUGGGCGCUAGGUGUGGGACUCAUUCCACGAGUUCCGUGCCGCAGCUAACGCAUUAAGCGCCCCGCCUGGGGAGUACGGCCGCAAGGCUAAAACUCAAAGGAAUUGACGGGGGCCCGCACAAGCGGCGGAGCAUGCGGAUUAAUUCGAUGCAACGCGAAGAACCUUACCAAGGCUUGACAUACACCGGAAUCAUGCAGAGAUGUGUGCGUCUUCGGACUGGUGUACAGGUGGUGCAUGGUUGUCGUCAGCUCGUGUCGUGAGAUGUUGGGUUAAGUCCCGCAACGAGCGCAACCCUCGUUCCAUGUUGCCAGCACUUCGGGGUGGGGACUCAUGGGAGACUGCCGGGGUCAACUCGGAGGAAGGUGGGGAUGACGUCAAAUCAUCAUGCCCCUUAUGUCUUGGGCUUCACGCAUGCUACAAUGGCCGGUACAGAGGGUUGCGAAACCGUGAGGUGGAGCUAAUCCCAAAAAACCGGUCUCAGUUCGGAUUGGGGU
rnacentral:rRNA from 1 species